rnacentral:rRNA from 1 species
GAGUUUGAUCUUGGCUCAGAUUGAACGCUGGCGGCAGGCCUAACACAUGCAAGUCGGGCGGUAGAGAGAAGCUUGCUUCUCUUGAGAGCGGCGGACGGGUGAGUAAUGCCUAGGAAUCUGCCUGGUAGUGGGGGAUAACGCUCGGAAACGGACGCUAAUACCGCAUACGUCCUACGGGAGAAAGCAGGGGACCUUCGGGCCUUGCGCUAUCAGAUGAGCCUAGGUCGGAUUAGCUAGUUGGUGAGGUAAUGGCUCACCAAGGCGACGAUCCGUAACUGGUCUGAGAGGAUGAUCAGUCACACUGGAACUGAGACACGGUCCAGACUCCUACGGGAGGCAGCAGUGGGGAAUACUGGACAAUGGGCGAAAGCCUGAUCCAGCCAUGCCGCGUGUGUGAAGAAGGUCUUCGGAUUGUAAAGCACUUUAAGUUGGAGGAAGGGCAGUAAAUUAAUAACUUUGCUGUUUUGACGUUACCGACAGAAUAAGCACCGGCUAACUCUGUGCCAGCAGCCG